CCUACGGGGGGCUGCAGUGGGGAAUAUUGGACAAUGGGGGCAACCCUGAUCCAGCCAUGCCGCGUGUGUGAAGAAGGCCCUCGGGUUGUAAAGCACUGUCAGUGAGGAAGAACGCCUGGUGGUUAAUACCCAUCAGGAAAGACAUCACUCACAGAAGAAGCACCGGCUAACUCCGUGCCAGCAGCCGCGGUAAUACGGAGGGUGCGAGCGUUAAUCGGAAUUACUGGGCGUAAAGCGCGCGUAGGUGGCUUGAUAAGCCGGUUGUGAAAGCCCCGGGCUCAACCUGGGAACGGCAUCCGGAACUGUCGAGCUAGAGUGCAGGAGAGGAAGGUAGAAUUCCCGGUGUAGCGGUGAAAUGCGUAGAGAUCGGGAGGAAUACCAGUGGCGAAGGCGGCCUUCUGGACUGACACUGACACUGAGGUGCGAAAGCGUGGGUAGCAAACAGGAUUAGAUACCCUAGUAGUC
rnacentral:rRNA from 1 species